rnacentral:rRNA from 1 species
CAGCAGCCACGGGAAAACGUAGGGGGCAAGCGUUAUCCGGAAUAACUGGGCGUAAAGGGUGCGCAGGUGGUUUAACAAGUUAGUGGUGAAAGGCAUAGGCUCAACCAAUGUAAGCCAUUAAAACUGUUUAACUUGAGUGCAGGAGAGGAAAGUGGAAUUCCUAGUGUAGCGGUGAAAUGCGUAGAUAUUAGGAGGAAUACCAGUGGCGAAGGCGACUUUCUGGACUGCAACUGACACUGAGGCACGAAAGCGUGGGGAGCAAACAGGAUUAGAUACCCCGGUAGUCCCUGUCUCUUAUACA